GACGAACGCUGGCGGCGUGCUUAACACAUGCAAGUCGAGCGGUAAGGCCCUUUCGGGGGUACACGAGCGGCGAACGGGUGAGUAACACGUGGGUGACCUGCCCUCAGCUCUGGGAUAAGCCUGGGAAACCGGGUCUAAUACUGGAUAUGACUCCAUGACGCAUGUUGUGGGGUGGAAAGCCUUGUGCGGCUGAGGAUGGGCCCGCGGCCUAUCAGCUUGUUGGUGGGGUGANGGCCUACCAAGGCGACGACGGGUAGCUGGUCUGAGAGGACGAUCAGCCACACUGGCACUGCGACACGGGCCAGACUCCUACGGGAGGCAGCAGUGAGGAAUAUUGCGCAAUGGGCGAAAGCCUGACGACGCAACGCCGCGUGGAGGAUGAAGGUCUUCGGAUUGUAAACUCCUGUUGCUCGGGACGAAAUGCUCCAGCCUAACACGUUGGAGUUUGACGGUACCGGGUGAGGAA
rnacentral:rRNA from 1 species